UUCUCUUGAGGGAACCUUAGAUGC
rnacentral:siRNA from 1 species